UACGGGGGGGGCAAGCGUUGUUCGGAAUUACUGGGCGUAAAGCGCACGUAGGCGGAAUGUUAAGUCAGGGGUGAAAUCCCGGGGCUCAACCCCGGAACUGCCUUUGAUACUGGCAUUCUCGAGUCCGGAAGAGGUGAGUGGAAUUCCGAGUGUAGAGGUGAAAUUCGUAGAUAUUCGGAGGAACACCAGUGGCGAAGGCGGCUCACUGGUCCGGUACUGACGCUGAGGUGCGAAAGCGUGGGGAGCAAACAGG
rnacentral:rRNA from 1 species